UACGGAGGUGGCAAGCGUUAUCCGGAUUCACUGGGUUUAAAGGGUGCGUAGGAGGGCAGGUAAGUCAGUGGUGAAAUCUUCGAGCUUAACUCGGAAACUGCCGUUGAUACUAUCUGUCUUGAAUACCGUGGAGAUGAGCGGAAUAUGUCAUGUAGCGGUGAAAAUGCUUAGAUAUGACAUAGAACACCAAUUGCGAAGGCAGCUCGUUACACGAAUAUUGACUCUGAGGCACGAAAGCGUGGGGAUCAAACAGG
rnacentral:rRNA from 1 species